UACGUAGGUGGCAAGCGUUGUCCGGAUUUACUGGGCGUAAAGAGCGCGCAGGCGGUCGGAUAAGUCGAAUGUGAAAGCCCCUGGCUCAACCAGGGAGGGUCAUUCGAUACUGUUCGACUCGAAGGCAGGAGAGGGAAGUGGAAUUCCGGGUGUAGUGGUGAAAUGCGUAGAUAUCCGGAGGAACACCAGUGGCGAAGGCGACUUUCUGGCCUGUUCUUGACGCUGAGGCGCGAAAGCUAGGGGAGCAAACGGG
rnacentral:ncRNA from 2 species